AACGAACGCUGGCGGCAGGCCUAACACAUGCAAGUCGAACGAAUGUAGCAAUACAUGAGUGGCGCACGGGAGAGUAACGCGUGGGAACCUACCUUUUGGUUCGGAAUAACGUCGGGAAACUGACGCUAAUACCGGAUAAUCCCUUCGGGGGAAAGAUUUAUCGCCGAUAGAUGGGCCCGCGUUAGAUUAGCUAGUUGGUGAGGUAAUGGCCCACCAAGGCUACGAUCUAUAGCUGGUCUGAGAGGACGAUCAGCCUCACUGGGACUGAGACACGGCCCAGACUCCUACGGGAGGCUG
rnacentral:rRNA from 1 species